rnacentral:rRNA from 1 species
CCUACGGGUGGCUGCAGUAGGGAAUAUUGCACAAUGGAGGAAACUCUGAUGCAGCGACGCCGCGUGAGUGAUGAAGGCCUUCGGGUUGUAAAGCUCUGUCGCACGGGAAUAAGACAGUGAAUGUACCGUGCAAGAAAGGAUCGGCUAACUUCGUGCCAGCAGCCGCGGUAAGACGAGGGAUCCUAGCGUUGUUCGGAAUCAUUGGGCGUAAAGCGGAUGCAUGUGGCUUUGUAAGUCAGGUGUGAAAUCCCAGGGCUCAACCCUGGAAGUGCAUU